rnacentral:tRNA from 1 species
GGUCCUACGUACGCGCCGGUAAGCGGCGGUGCGGCCCUCUCAAGGCUGAAACACGGGUUCGAAUCCCGUUGGGGCCACCA